UUUCUUGAGGCUCAGUUGGUAGAGCAUUGUGUUAGGUACACAAAGGUUGUGGGUUCAAAUCCCAGGGAAAA